rnacentral:rRNA from 1 species
UACGUAGGGCGCAAGCGUUGUCCGGAAUUAUUGGGCGUAAAGAGCUCGUAGGCGGCCUGUUGCGUCCGCUGUGAAAUCCCGGGGCUCAACCCCGGGCCUGCAGUGGAUACGGGCUGGCUAGAGGCAGGCAGGGGAGAACGGAAUUCCUGGUGUAGCGGUGAAAUGCGCAGAUAUCAGGAGGAACACCGGUGGCGAAGGCGGUUCUCUGGGCCUGUACUGACGCUGAGGAGCGAAAGCGUGGGGAGCAAACGGG